UGGGGAAUAUUGCACAAUGGGCGCAAGCCUGAUGCAGCAACGCCGCGUGAGGGACGACGGCCUUCGGGUUGUAAACCUCCUUUAGUAGGGAAGAAGCGAAAGUGACGGUACCUGCAGAAAAAGCACCGGCUAACUACGUGCCAGCAGCCGCGGUAAUACGUAGGGUGCGAGCGUUGUCCGGAAUUAUUGGGCGUAAAGAGCUCGUAGGCGGUCUGUCGCGUCUGCUGUGAAAACCCGAGGCUCAACCUCGGGCCUGCAGUGGGUACGGGCAGACUAGAGUGCGGUAGGGGAGAAUGGAAUUCCUGGUGUAGCGGUGGAAUGCGCAGAUAUCAGGAGGAACACCGAUGGCGAAGGCAGUUCUCUGGGCCGUAACUGACGCUGAGGAGCGAAAGCGUGGGGAGCGAACAGGAUUAGAUACCCUGGUAGUCCACGCCGUAAAACGUUGGGCGCUAGAUGUGGGGACCAUUCCACGGUUUCCGUGUCGCAGCUAACGCAUUAAGCGCCCCGCCUGGGGAGUACGGCCGCAAGGCU
rnacentral:rRNA from 1 species